AGCCCAUGGUGAGGGCACCGUCUCAAUAGGUCUUUGUAGCUCUCCCAUGUAUCAUAUAAAGUCUCUAAAUCGACUUGAACAAAAGAAGAGAUAUCAUUCUUCAACUU
rfam:Gossypium hirsutum cultivar TM-1 chromosome 4, whole genome shotgun sequence